UGAUUCAUAUCAUUAUAAUAAAGUGCACAGGUACAAGAAUCCAAAGUAUUUUAUGUAAGAAUUACUAUUCCACGACCGAAGUUGCUGCGCAUGCGCCUCAGCAGCCGAUGAGCUCGUGAACGCGGAGUGUUCGGUGAACACCGGCCGUGAUGUUGUGACGACCAGCUGGAGGCUGUCCUGUCCUGUGGGACCGGGCGAAGGACCGAGGAGCUGGUAAGAGGUCUGCUUGUGUCACCGAGGAUCCGGUAAGGCGGAGCCGUGCUCCCGAGUCCCGGUACCGUCCCAGAAUCAAUCAGCAUGCCUUCAACACACCCGAGUAGAAAAGAGCAAAGGAAACUGUACCAGUCUCUGGGUUGGGAGGAGCUCUGGUCCCCUGCUGGGACCUCAGACCUCCACUUUACCACCCACAGAAGAGUGCCUAGACCUUUCCUUGUACUUGAGUUCUCCUAAAAUUGGAUUUUUUUAGGGUCAUUCAUUCCACAGAGUCUCGCUGGAGCAUCUUUAUUCUGCCUCCAUCUAGCGGCGCGACAACAGAAUUACACCAGCCCCUGUCUAAGCCCUUCCUACUCUCUAAAGAGAAGACAGAAGACAUCAUGGAACACCUGAAAUCAGUCAGGUCACCUGGGGAGGGCUUGAGGAGAAGUUUGGUUCCUCAUGGAUUUGAAGUCUGCUCUACAGACGAGUUCCGGAGCUUCAGGAAUCAGAUCGGUUCCAAUCAGUUAUUAAAAAGUCUGGCUGGAGAGACGUCUAGGAAACUCUACAUAGAAGACUUUUUAACAGGAAUCCUUUGACAGAUAAUCUUUGGGAAUGUUUCUGUAGUUUUGACUCUGAAAGCAUCUGAAUGAAUGAAAAGUUACAGUCGUUUUUAAU